AAAAGAAAUGAAUGAAAUGAUCAAUUCAGCGAAUUCGUUGGUUGGUUGGUUGGUUUUCUUCUCUCCUUUCGUUUCAUGAAGAAAGAGAAAAAAAAAAAAAA
rnacentral:ribozyme from 11 species